rfam:Picea glauca, whole genome shotgun sequence.
UCUUAUGUACAUGCCUACAACAUAGCAUUAAUGCAACAUAUCCCAUUAGAACUUUGUAGUUAACCACUCUCGGGAUAGAGUAGUAUUGGGAUGGGUGACUGCUCGAGAAGUCUUAGUAUUUUAUAUGCC